UGAAACACGGACCAAGGAGUCUAGCAUGUGCGCAAGUCAUUGGGAUAUACAAAACCUAAAGGCGAAAUGAAAGUAAAGAUUCACUUUUGUGUUUCUAAGGGAUGAUGGGUUGUGCCACAAUAUAACCCCGCAAUCCCGGGACGUCUCAUUCUCAUUGCGAGUAGAGGCGUACCUAGAGCGUACACGCUGGGACCCGAAAGAUGGUGAACUAUGCCUGGUCAGGUCGAAGUCA
rnacentral:rRNA from 1 species